CCAUUUCUCAUAGCCAUUCAUGAACACAUCAAAUAGAUCAUUUUGCAUCACAUUUCAUAUACCAAAAUCAAAACAUAAAUACAACCAUAUCAAGCCAUAUCACAUAUCUAAAUAUAAUUACAAAUUCUAUCCAAAGUACUUCUAGCCUAUACAUUCCAUACUUUACUAUAUACAUUUUCAAAAGGUACUAAAAUGAGAUUCGAUAGUGUGGUGACGAUCCUCAAUAAUCCAUAAGGUCACGGUAGCUUCGAUAUCUAUAAUACAAUACAAACACACACAAAGUAAGCUUUCAAAAGCUUAGUAAGCCAUAUACAAAUAAACAUAUCAUUUAAAGCAUAUAAACAUUGUACAGGCCCAAUUUUGCCCGGCCCGUUUAAAUAAAAACCCAAAAAAAUAUAAUAUAAGCAGUCCACUUACAAAGAGUUUUAGCCCAAUUAUAAACCCAUUAACCUAAACCACUAACCCAUUACAGAUUAGGCCUGUUAGCCUAAGACCUAAACUCAUGUUUAGGAAAAUGAAACCCUAGCUCACCCUUGCACCCUACCCCCUCCCAUGUGCGCCCUGGGCAUGUACGGCGCCUGAGGUUCAGCCCUCCAGUCCCCCGUCGCACCAAAGCGGCCAUGUACGUCCCGUUGACCUUCAUGCGAUUGCAAAAGAGAGCAAAAAAGGAAAAGAAACAAGACCACAAGGCAGAGAGCAGAGACAAGGCAAAAAAAAAAGAAGCAAAAAUAAAUAAUAGUAAUAACAAAUCAUUUUUUUCGACUAUAAAAGCCCCGAAGAAAUAGAUUGUAUUUUUUACGCAAAAAAAAUUACCAAAACGAAUAGAGAGAAAUCAAAAAAUAUUAAAAGGUGAUCCAUUUGUUCUUUUUUUUUAUUUUUAUUUUGAAUUUAUUAUGCAAAUACAAGAAAAAGAAAAAGUUUUUUUUACCUGUUGCUUGGUGUCGCCUAAGUCGGUUCUUGCUUCUCUAACCCAAAGGCAGACGGAUCCUUGGGGAUCCGGUCAGAGCCACGACGGAGGAGACUGAAACCCGAACGGUCUUCUAACUUUUGAGCCUUUUUUGUAAAGAUUUAGGAAACUUUGGGCUAGGAUUUGGGUUCUGGAGGGCUGAAAGGUUUAAAACGAGGCCUCUUUUGCGAUUCUCGGCCACCGGGCACGGUGGAACUCACCGCCGGCGAUCGGUGGCCAUCAUGG
rnacentral:lncRNA from 1 species